rnacentral:ncRNA from 15 species
UGCGACGAAGGCUUUGAUGGUGCUGCAACCGCGACAAUGCGGAAGCGGCUGAAAAGGGAACACGGAGCGGACGACCCAAAUGGGGCCGAAACCGUGGCUGCCCCCGCAACUGUGAGCGGAAAGCGCAUUCACACCAUGUCACUGGCGAUCAGCCGGGAAGACGUGGAUGCGCCGCGACCCGCGAGCCAGGAGACCUGCCAUCGAACCGAUCAACCAC